GGUGACCUCGAAUCAGGUAG
rnacentral:rRNA from 1 species